rnacentral:sRNA from 1 species
UUACUUUUUGUUACUUUCACGGUUUCCUUUUUUUUUUUUUUGAUUUUCAGUGAAUUUUGGGCUUUAGUGAAUUUAUACUAAAACGGUUUGCUUUUUCGAAAAUAAGAGGUCUACGCUCAAUUACUAACAUUUAAAGUGUUAACAUUACAAUAACUCUUCUUACGCUUUAAAAUUCUUUUAGAAACCUUUGUACUACAAGAAAACAAGCGAUUUGCGAGAAACAUUUGCGAUGGAAAAGGUUCCUAGCAAAUUUGCUAUAGAAUUAUGAGGAAUUUGCGAGCAGAUAGGAGAACGUCGCUAAUUUUUUGCAAAAUUUGCGAGGAAUAUAUCCCUCGGAAAAUUUUCUUCUUCCUCUUCUUUUUCUUUUUCUUUAGUAGAACUAGCAGAAACUCUUUCGAUCCCUAGAUAAUCCUCCAUCUUUCCAACUUUGUACCUAAGAACUUCACAGUUUUCAUAGACAAGUCCUAUUUUCUUACCAAAGGACAUUGAUUUUCUUUUUCUGGUGUGAUACACAAGUGUUUCAAUUGCAGGUUUCAUUACAUGAUCAAUUCUACCUUCAAGUACUUGUUCCACUUCAAUCCCUCCCUGACUCUAAUCCUUCUUGCUCAUUUUAUACACUUUGAUCACAAGAUCAAAAACAUGUAACAGAUCCUUGUCUUUAGGAUUCAUUUGUGGAACACAAGGGUCAUAUUCAUGAUAAUUAACACCAACUAUUGAUUUCCCUUCAACCUGCUAAUAUAUCCCUCGUAAAAUUGCGAGGAACUUGCGAUGAAUUUUCUCGCACAUUCGUCGCAGAAUUGCGGGGACUUUGCGAGAAGAUAGGAGAACGUCGCUAAUUCAUUGCAAAAUUUGCGAGGAAUAUAUCCCUCGCAAAAUUUUCUUCUUCCUCUUCUUUUUCUUCUUCUCUAGUAGAACUGGCAGAAACUCUUUCGAUCCCUAAAUAGUCCUCCAUCCUUCUAACUUUGUACCUAAAAACUUCACAAUUUUCAUAGACAAGUCCUAUUUUCUCAGCAAAGGAUAUUGAUUUCAUUUUUCUACUGCAAUACACAAGUGUUUCAAUUGCAGGUUUCAUUUCAUGAUCAAUUCUACCUUCAUGUUACUGUUCCACUUUAAUCCAUCCCUGACUCCAAUACUUCUUGCUCAUUUUAUAUCCUUUGUUCACAAGAUCAAAAAUAUGUAACAGAUCCUUGUCUUUAGGAUUCUUUUUUGAAACCAAGUGGUCAUAUUCAUGAGAAUUAAUACCAACUAUUGGUUUUUACUUCAACCUGCAAAUAUAUAUCUCGCCAAAUUGCGAGGUACUUCCGAACCGAAAAACCAAGAUAUUGAUUCGACAAAAAGAAAUAAAAAUCGAACAAACCCAAAUAUAAAACUUUAGUGCCUUAAAUUUGUUAUCUUCAAUUGAUUCCUUUGCUGGAGAAACAAAAAAUUUUAAAUUGUUCUAAGGAAGAAGACAGUGUAGACGACAGUUUCUCUAAAUUUUUUCUUUACUUU